ACACCUUCUCUUCCUGGAUUCGCUUUCUCUGGAUAAACUCCAUCUUUCGGGUGAAGAUAUUGAACCUCUCCGUUAGGGAACACUCUGUAAAACUGGUAAGUGAUCUUGUAUUUAGACCUCAACCUCGUACCUAAAGCCAAACACUGUUCUUUCCUCGCUAGUUUCAAUAGAUUUGGUCCUUCUCUCAUUAUCGCAGCUCCUCCGGUUGGCAUCUCAAAGAUUUGUUCUUUCGGUGAGUUCCAUGUGAUGACGUAGAAUUCUUCUACUUGUGCUUUACGGAGGAGACCUCCUGUGCUUCCGGCGAAGAUUG
rnacentral:lncRNA from 1 species